ACCUUUUUUGUCUAAACGCCGAUAUCGACGAAGUACGCCUAAGCGUUGCUCCCGUAUCACGCCUACUUUACCCCAAAUUCGAUGACAAGGCACAUCCACCUGAACAUGACAUUGUCCCCUACCCGCAGGGUGGAAAAAUGCCCACCUACCUCUUAGCCGCACGAAAGCCAUUGUUCAAACUUUCAAAUACCGCAACCUAAGAGUCUGUGUCUGGACAUCUGAUCGGGUUCAUGUAAACUCCUCGUAAACACACUAGCGCAAGCUUGACUUGAUAUAUAUUAAGGUAAUCUACAACAGAAAGACUCUGUUCCACCCACAUUUGACAAUAUCUUCAGCAGCGCCAGCCUACUGAAAGAACCCCCGAUUUAACAAGACUUGUUCAACAAGCCUUGUUCAAAGAGGAUGAA
rnacentral:lncRNA from 1 species